rnacentral:tRNA from 1 species
GGCUCUGUGGCGCAAUGGAUAGUGCAUUGGACUUCUAGGCUGUGAGCUGAGCCUUUCAAAGGUUGUGGGUUCGAGUCCCACCAGAGUUG